AAGGUCCUGUUGUACCUGAUGCUG
rnacentral:siRNA from 1 species